rnacentral:rRNA from 1 species
GGCCGCGGGAAUUCGAUUCAGGCCUAACACAUGCAAGUCGAGCGGAAAGGCCACUUCGGUGGUACUCGAGCGGCGAACGGGUGAGUAACACGUGAGUAAUCUGCCCCUGGCUUCGGGAUAGCCACCGGAAACGGUGAUUAAUACCGGAUAUGACAUGGACUCGCAUGGGUUUGUGUGGAAAGUUUUUCGGCCAGGGAUGUGCUCGCGGCCUAUCAGCUUGAUGGUGAGGUAAUGGCUCACCAUGGCUUCGACGGGUAGCCGGCCUGAGAGGGUGACCGGCCACACUGGGACUGAGACACGGCCCAGACUCCUACGGGAGGCAGCAGUGGGGAAUAUUGGACAAUAAGGGGAAGCCUGAUCCAGCAACGCCGCGUGAGGGAUUACAAGGGUCGGGUUGUAAACCUCUUUCAGUACCGACGAAGCGCAAGUGACGGUAGGUACAGA